UCUGCUCAAUGAUUUUUUAAAUUGCUCUGGUAUUUUGACUAUACAAAGGGUAUUGAAUAAGAUUUUAAUUGAAUGCUAAGAGAAUGGAAGUCCAGGGAAAAACUUUUUUUAAAUUAAAAAUUGAAGUUUUUUUAAUUUGUGCAGAAACAAUUAUUUAUAUUAAGGACAAGAAGACCCUAUGAAUUUAUUAAAUUUUUAUUUAAUAUGUAAUUACUAUUGAAAAAAUUUUGGCUGGGGCGGCUAAAAAAUAUUAUAAACUUUUUAAAAAUAAAAUGAUCCAUUAUUAAUGAUUCUAUGUUAAAUACUCUAGGGAUAACAGCGUUAUAUUUUUUG
rnacentral:rRNA from 1 species